UCAGGAUGAACGCUAGCGGCAGGCCUAACACAUGCAAGUCGAGGGGCAGCGGGGAUAAGCUUGCUUAUCCGCCGGCGACCGGCGCACGGGUGCGCAACGCGUAUAGAAUCUGCCCUGUACUGGGGAAUAGCCCAGAGAAAUUUGGAUUAAUGCCCCAUGGUAUGUAUUAGCGGCAUCGCUUAUACAUUAAAGGCUACGGUACAGGAUGACUAUGCGUCCCAUUAGUUAGUUGGUAAGGUAACGGCUUACCAAGGCAGCGAUGGGUAGGGGCCCUGAGAGGGGAUCCCCCACACUGGUACUGAGACACGGACCAGACUCUACGGGAGGCAGCAGUGAGGAAUAUUGGACAAUGGGCGGGAGCCUGAUCCAGCCAUGCCGCGUGCAGGAAGACGGUCCUAUGGAUUGUAAACUGCUUUUGUACGGGAAGAACAAGGGCACGUGUGCCCCUCUGACGGUACCGUAAGAAUAAGGAUCGGCUAACUCCGUGCCAGCAGCCGCGGUAAUACGGAGGAUCCGAGCGUUAUCCGGAAUCAUUGGGUUUAAAGGGUCCGUAGGCGGGCCAUUAAGUCAGGGGUGAAAGUCUGCGGCUCAACCGUAGAAUUGCCCUUGAUACUGGUGGUCUCUGAGUUAUGGUGAAGUAACUAGAAUAUGUAGUGUAGCGGUGAAAUGCAUAGAUAUUACAUAGAAUACCGAUUGCGAAGGCAGGUUACUAACCAUAUACUGACGCUGAUG
rnacentral:rRNA from 1 species